rnacentral:piRNA from 1 species
UGACACAUUGCCUAGUGACUGGCACGAAGU